rnacentral:rRNA from 1 species
ACAUGCAAGUCGAACGGGCUCCGGGGCAACUCGGAGUCAGUGGCGGACGGGUGCGUAACACGUGAGGAACAUGCCUAUCGGCGGGGGAUAGCCGGUCCAACGACCGGGUAAUACCGCGUACGACCUUUGGGUGGCAUCACCUGGGGGUGAAAGCAGCAAUGCACCGAUAGAGUGCCUCGCGGCCUAUCAGCUAGUUGGUGAGGUAAUGGCUCACCAAGGCGACGACGGGUAGCUGGUCUGAGAGGAUGACCAGCCACAUUGGGACUGAGACACGGCCCAGACUCCUACGGGAGGCAGCAGUGGGGAAUAUUGCGCAAUGGGCGAAAGCCUGACGCAGCGACGCC